rnacentral:rRNA from 1 species
GACAGAGGGUGCAAACGUUGUUCGGAUUUACUGGGCGUAAAGCGCGUGUAGGCGGCUUUGCAAGUCGGAUGUGAAAGCCCACGGCUCAACCGUGGAAGUGCAUCCGAAACUGCAUGGCUCGAGUCUCGGAGAGGAAGGUGGAAUGCUUGGUGUAGAGGUGAAAUGCGCAGAUAUCAGGAGGAACACCGGUGGCGAAGGCGGGUCUCUGGGCCGUAACUGACGCUGAGGAGCGAAAGCGUGGGGAGCGAACAGG